CAGCUACAGCAGCAGCAGCAACAGUGGAGACUGGGGCUGGGACCUGGCCAGUGACCAGUCCUCUCCGUCCACCCCGUCACCCCCACUGCCCCCCGAGGCAGCCCACUUUCUGUUCGGGGAGCCCACCCUGAGAAAAAGGAAGGUGAGCUUGGGGGCGGCCCCCAGGGAGGGGUGGGUGUGGUGGCUGAGCCUGACCCUGGCCCCUGUUGCUGCAGAGCCCGGCCCAGGUCAUGUUCCAGUGUCUGUGGAAGAACUGCGGGAAGGUGCUGAGCACGGCGUCGGCGAUGCAGAGACACAUCCGCCUGGUGCACCUGGAGGCAGGCAGAGCCUGAGCAGAGUGACGGGCUGCCUGACGCCCACCCGCCUGGAGCCACAGCCCACGGAGGUCGGAGCCUGCCCACCCGCCUUGUCCUCCAGGAUCGGAGUCACCCUGAGGAAGCCCCGCGGCGACGCAAAGAAGUGCCGGAAGGUGUAUGGCAUGGAGCGCCGGGACCUGUGGUGCACAGCCUGCCGCUGGAAGAAAGCCUGCCAGCGGUUCCUGGACUAAGUCCGGCUCGUUCAAGAACAUAAGCUACCACCUCUCCCUCCCCAGCCCUCCAGGCCCGGGGCUGAAACAGCCGGGGGACAGCCCCAGGGGCUGGCCUUCACCAGCUGCAGGGUCUGCUUUUAAUUGGGGUGGGGGGGCGGGGCUGACCCUGAACUCCCCCCCCCAGGUCGGGGAGGGGUCCCACCACUCAAAGUGCCUCUGAAGAAACCAGCUUUUUGCACUAAAGCCAAACCACACCGCUGUCCCCUUAGCCCCAAGAGCCCUGGGGGCAGCCACCCUCCCGCCUGUCGGCCCGUAGAUUUAUCAAGGGUGUUAUGGGCCCAGCUUUGGGGGGCCAGUCCCGAUGCACUUUGAGGGGUGUUGGAGAGAGGACUCCCCCACUCGCACUUAACUCAAUGGCUCUCGGGCCCUGGGGCUGUUUUUACCAUGUUUUUGAAGCUCAGGUGUCUCACGUCUGGGCUGCACCAGGCGAAGAGAGAAAUUAAAGAUUUGAGGUUUUUCCAGAA
rnacentral:sRNA from 1 species